GUGCCAGCAGCCGCGGUAAAACGUAGGAGGCGAGCGUUAUCCGGAUUUACUGGGUGUAAAGCGCGUGCAGGCGGUUUGUUAAGAUGGGUGUGAAAGCUCCUGGCUCAACUGGGAGAGGUCGCUCAUGACUGGCAGACUUGAGAGCAGUAGGGGAAGGUGGAAUUCCGGGUGUAGUGGUGAAAUGCGUAGAUAUCCGGAGGAACACCAGUGGCGAAAGCGGCCUUCUGGACUGCAUCUGACGCUCAGACGCGAAAGCUAGGGUAGCAAACGGGAUUAGAUACCCUCGUAGUCC
rnacentral:rRNA from 1 species